AUGUGAGCAGUAGUAGAGCAGAAUAGGACAUGAUUGGGGUUUCCGGUCUCAGAUAUAUUCUUCUAACAAUAUUUACAAUAAAUCAGAAUUGUUUUGUUUACGGAGGAUGCCCCUUUCAAAAUCCAUUCUGGUUUUUAGACAGACCAAAUGUAGUGACUGUAUCAGAUGCUGAGGGGAAUCUUGUACCAGACAGG